GAUGAACGCUGGCGGCAUGCCUAAUACAUGCAAGUCGAGCGAAUGGACGAGAAGCUUGCUUCUCUGAUGUUAGCGGCGGCAGGGUGCGUCACAAGUGGAUAAACUACCUCUAAGACUGGGCUAACAUCGGGAAACCGGAGCUAAUACCGGAAAAUAUUUUGUACGGCAUGGUUCAUAAGUGAUAGACGGUCUUGCCGUCACUUAUCGCUGGAUCCGCGCUACAUUAGCGAGUUGGUAAGGUCACGGCUUACCAAGGACACGAUUCAUACCUGACCUGAUAGGUUGAUCGGCCACACUGGAACUGAGACACGGUCCAGACUCCUACGGGAGGCAGCAGUAGGGAAUUUUCCACAAUGGGCGAGAGCCUGACGGAGCAAUGCCGCGUGAGUGAAGAAGGUCUUCGGAUGUGAAAGCUCUGUUAUUAGGAAAGAACAGAUGUGUAUGGAUCUGUGCACAUCUUGACGGUACCUAAACAGAAAGCCCCGGCUAACUACGUG
rnacentral:rRNA from 1 species